rnacentral:rRNA from 2 species
ACUACCGAUUGAAUGGUUUAGUGAGGCCUCCUGAUUGGCGCCGCCGCCCCGGCAACGGAGUAGCGGAUGCCGAGAAGUUGGUCAAACUUGAUCAUUUAGAGGAAGUAAAAGUCGUAACAAGGUUUCCGUAGGUGAACCUGCGGAAGGAUCAUUA